rnacentral:rRNA from 1 species
GAUGAACACUGGCGGCGUGCCUAAUACAUGCAAGUCGAGCGAACGGACGAGAAGCUUGCUUCUCUGAUGUUAGCGGCGGACGGGUGAGUAACACGUGGAUAACCUACCUAUAAGACUGGGAUAACUUCGGGAAACCGGAGCUAAUACCGGAUAAUAUUUUGAACCGCAUGGUUCAAAAGUAAAAGACGGUCUUGCUGUCACUUAUAGAUGGAUCCGCGCUGCAUUAGCUAGUUGGUAAGGUAACGGCUUACCAAGGCAACGAUGCAUAGCCGACCUGAGAGGGUGAUCGGCCACACUGGAACUGAGACACGGUCCAGACUCCUACGGGAGGCAGCAGUAGGGAAUCUUCCGCAAUGGGCGAAAGCCUGACGGAGCAACGCCGCGUGAGUGAUGAAGGUCUUCGGAUCGUAAAACUCUGUUAUUAGGGAAGAACAUAUGUGUAAGUAACUGUGCACAUCUUGACGGUACCUAAUCAGAAAGCCACGGCUAACUACGUG